UUGUACUUUAUUUCAACGGUACAUGGACUGAUAGUAACCAAUACAUCAAAUUUGAAGUUACCGGCGUACUAGUUCCAUCAACUUGUGCGUUCAGAGAAAUGCAAAACAUGAUAUGCAUUGUUCUAUCAAGUUUGGAGUGUCGGAUUUUGGCAUUUUUAGAGCCUAAUUUCAUUGGAAACGGGUCAACGAUCAAAAGUCACCAGCUUUGCUGGUGAACUGCAGGGUUUUUUGGUCAAAUUCCA
rnacentral:lncRNA from 1 species